ACAACAAAGGGAAUGGAAGGUCUGAUGCAUCCUACUACUCCCUUUCUGCCUCCACAGAAUGACAGUCCGCAUGAGGAGACUUUUGUGAGGAUUCCCUGUGGCAGAAGGCAGUGAAGACACCCACUGUUCUAGAAAAAUUACUCUCUACAUACACAGGACAGAAAGCAAAACCAAACCUGAGAGCACUUGAAGUUAGUUUGGGGACAUCCUUUCAGAAGGAAGGAGUGGAUCCAUCUGAAUUUGAUUUUGUACUUUUGAGAGCACAAAGCAGCCUUCUUCUUGUCCGUUUUCUUCUCUCCAUAACAGUAUAUUUUGGAUCUAAAGAUAGAUUUUAAAACAAGAAUUGAGAGACUCCAACUGCAUUUCAACCGAUCAAUUCUAAACUCAAACUUUUGAGAUUAUGAGAAUAAGUGGAAGGAUAAGUCCAAGGAUAAGAUGGAGCUGCAGCAGCCAUUUUGUAAACUUGCAGGAAAUAACUCACUAAGGAUGACAGAGCAGAAAGAAGAAGCCUUGGUCUUAGUUGACUGCACAGAGCUACUAAACUAAUGGUCAACCGCU